ACGUGCAAAUAGGGAAUUACAUUUUAGGGACAACGUCCCUUAUUUACACGUACCAGAUUUCCCGCUGUCAGUUUGUGACGCAAUACAAUAGGUUACUAUUUACAUAUUUAAAACGUCUUUGGGUGGAUGAUUCUAAUCAAACAUGUUAUGUUUGGAGCAGAGUGGAUAAUGGUCUCAUUCACUAAGCAUGCGUACACACAAAUGUGUGUGUAAAACCGACACAGGAACAUUCAAGGUCAAUGACUAACAAAAUAUGAUGUUCACCUUAUUAAGACUCUAGGAGGAGUUUGUUAAGUAUGACACCUGGAAAAAGAAAAGAUAAAAAGAACGUGCAGUGGACAUUGAAAAAAAUUGACUUCCCUGUGGGUUUAGUGCAUCGGUAAAAGAGAUUUCUUUCUUGGUAUUGAGACGAUAGACAAGUAAGUGGCACCGCAACCCGAUUGCGUAAGGAAAAUAGUAAAUGGUAGGUGAUAAAAUUAAUGCUGGCGAAUUAUUAUAGGAAUCGUUAUUUAUACAUAUGUGCCAUAUUUCCUGUUGCCAGCUGGUGGCGCUAUGACUCUAUCUGAAUAAUACCAUGUAAAGAAAAAAGUAGAUGAUAGGUGAUAAAAUGAAUGCAUGUGAAUUAUAGUGGGAUUUGUAAUAUAUUUAUAAGUGCCAUUUUCCUGUUGCCAGCUGGUGGCGCUACGACUCUAUCUGAAUAAAGAAAAAAGUAAAUACUAGAUGAUAAAAUUAAUGCAGGUAGCUAAAAGCAGGAUUUGUUAUUUAUUUAUUAAAGUUAUUUAUAUAUUAGUGCCAUAUUUCCGGUUGCCAGCUUUCCUGUUCCCAGCUGGUGACACUAUGACUAUAAUUGAAUACUGACAUGGAUAUGUACAAUGGCUUAAUAUGACGCUGACCUGUUUGAGUUUCUAUGAGCAGUUAAAAACAGUUUAAAACAUGCCAUUUCCAUUUUCCUGCAGGUGGCUCUAAAACUCUAUCUGAAUAUUACCAUAUAAAUAAAAAUGUAUAUUAUAUGUUAUAAAAUUAAUGCAGGUGAAUUAUAGUAGGAUUUGUUAUUUAUUUAUACCUGCCAUAUUUCCUGUUGGCAGCUGGUGGCGCUAUUACCAUAAGUCCAACUGACAUGGAUGUCUAAACUGGCCAAAUAUGAUGCUGACCUGUUUGUGUUUCUAUGAGUAGUUACAAACAGUUUAAAAAAUGACAUUUCCUGUUGCCAGCUGGUUGCGCUAUGACUCUAUCUGAAUAUUACCAUGUAAAGCAAAAAGUAAAUGAUAGUUGAUCAAAAUAAUGCAGGCGAAUUAUACUCAGGAUAUGAAGUCUGGGGCCUGUUGGACAUUCUAUGCCCGAGAAACAACAACUUGCUGUUCAUGGCGAAGGCUUAACUUUAGCAGGCCGCCAGGGUCACGUUUCCUUAGGAAAAGUCAGGAUCUCUGCAAUUUAGCUUUGCAGAGGCCUUAAGAUGAAAAUGACACAAAUAUGAUGUUGAUCAGAUUAAAUCUCUCGGAGGAGUUUGUUCAAAUACGAUGUGUUGAAAUUGAAACAAAUUACAAAAUUCAACAGGAAAUAAAAAAUAACGGACAUCCUGUUUGGUCUAGAGAUAUGCCCUUAGAGACUUUUCUUAAUGAUUCGGGGUGUUACAUGAGCCUACCAAUUUUGGUGCAUGUACGUAUUGCGUAGAGGUCUGGGCAAUUCCAGGUGUCUAAGUUUUGCAAGGUCUGAUGUGCGUAAAAUUUAUUGUGAGUUUUCGAGCAUGUUUAGGCUGUCUAAAUUGCAAUCAAAGCGAGAUAGGAAUAAUAAUAAUAAUAAUAAUCAACACAGAAAAAAGAGGGCUAUGCACUGCAGAGCAAGCCGGUGGCUUGCUUUUUCAUGAUCGGGCCCUAAUUAGUUAAGCUUGUCAUGAAGACGACAGGUUUAUCUUUCUGCAGCCUGUUAAGUUUAAAACAUAUAUUUUUUUGUGUGAUUUAUGUUUAAUGUUGACCUUAUGUUGAGAAGUAAUUUUACGUUGCUAUGGACACAGUUCCAACCAUAGAUUGUUAGAAAAAACUCUGACGGGGGUCACUAUUGUGAAAAUAUCCUCACCAAUGCAAAGGUGAUGAUCGAGACCACCAUCCAGCUCCCAGAAGUGAACGCUGCAACAGUCACACAAUGCUCUGCCUCCUGGAAGGCUUGAACAGGUGGAAUCAAGAUCGGGCGACUGCAGCAGUGACCAGCAAACAGCAUCUCUCCUAACUUACUCCGGGGAUAUGGCCCACUGUGUUAACACCAACAGCUUAAAGGUGUUUGGCCGUGCUUUUGUGCCAACUUUCAGGUCACCUGCCAAAUACACUGGUAUGUUUUAUCUUUUCUAGCAACCUUAUACUUUUGGUUCGUGGGUUUCUAUGAGAAUCUGGAUUUCGUCCUGUCCUCUACAAAUAUUGCAUCUGUGUUUAAUACAAAGUUCAUAUAUCAUAUUUAUUAAUUCGUAUUCAUUCCUAUUAGUAUUAGCUUCUAUUCAUAUAAGAUGUGCCUUACUUUCUUGUUGUGUAACCUCGUUUAAAGUUGUAUCGUAUCUUAUGCUGUCUUAUGUUGAUAUAAGUAUCUGUUGUUCUCCAUCUCAAGGAUCCUAAUGAUGCCUAGGGACAAUUGUUUUGAUAUUGUAAUAUUAAAUACGUGAUCAUAUCUGAUUGUUCAGCAGGAGUAAGACUAAACAGAUAGUCUGGUGAUUUUCCACUCUGGUGGUUUUAUAUGACAUCUCCUGUUUCAAGCUUAUAAAUAUUUGUCCUUAAAACAAUAAACAUUUGACUCUGAUUGAACAAG